ACCUUCAUCCCAAGUGGUGGCCAUUUUUAUUGGGCCUAAAGCGUUCGUAGCCGGUUUGAUAAGUCUCUGGUGAAAUCCCGCAGCUUAACUGUGGGACUUGCUGGAGAUACUAUUAGACUUGAGGUCGGGAGAGGUUAGGGGUACUCACAGGGUAGGGGUGAAAUCCUAUAAGCCUGGGAGGACCACCGGUGGCGAAGGCGCCUAACUGGAACGAACCUGACGGUGAGGAACGAAAGCCAGGGGCGCGAACCG
rnacentral:rRNA from 1 species